AUGUACGGCAAGUGGGCGGGCGACAUCAUCGUGCAGCUCUCGGUCCUGCAGGUCGUCGUGUGGUUCCCGCUGAUGCUCAUCGUCUUCGAGGCGAGGCAGGCCUGGCUGGAUGUGACCUCGGAGCCGGCUGAUGCUGAUCAAGGCGCGCGCGAAGAAGGCGAUCUGUCGGCGCCGGCUGGAGGCGCGCGAGAAGACGGCAGCCAGGCGGCGUUGGGGAGCGAUUUCGAAUGGCCGGCACAAGGUGAAAGCGGCCGUAAGACGGCGGCGAUAGGGUGCGCGUUCUGGGCGCCGCUGCUGCGAGCGGUCGGGGUGAAGCUCGCCCGCAACCCCAACGUGUACGCCAGCCUCCUAGGGGUCGCGUGGUCUUCCGUGGCAAACAGGUUUGCAUGUGCCAUGUUGCACAACAGAAUUGGUUAA
rnacentral:rRNA from 1 species